rnacentral:rRNA from 1 species
CAGUCGCCGCGGUAAUACGUAGGUCCCGAGCGUUGUCCGGAUUUAUUGGGCGUAAAGCGAGCGCAGGCGGUUUCUUAAGUCUGAUGUGAAAGCCCCCGGCUCAACCGGGGAGGGUCAUUGGAAACUGGGAAACUUGAGUGCAGAAGAGGAGAGUGGAAUUCCACGUGUAGCGGUGAAAUGCGUAGAGAUGUGGAGGAACACCAGUGGCGAAGGCGACUCUCUGGUCUGUAACUGACGCUGAGGAGCGAAAGCGUGGGGAGCGAACAGGAUUAGAUACCCCUGUAGUCCCUGUCUCUUAUAC